rnacentral:misc_RNA from 1 species
GAAAAAAAUAAAAGGUUUCUGGAUUUGGUGCAUGGAAAAGCAGCUGUAUUACUUACUUUUAUUUGCACAACACAGAAGCAUAUGUUACAGGAUUAUCAUCCAUGUCAUAUAUCAUCAGAGUUACCUAGCACCCGAAAUCGACUGGCCAAGUUCGUUGACUGUUACUUCAAUCAGCACGUCCUCAAAAGCUUCGUCGCUCGUGAACA